UUCCCAGCCACUCUUCUCUCAAGAACUGAUGGGGAGUCAUGGGUCCCUGCCCCACUUGUCCAUGUGAGAGGGAAGCAGGUGUGCUUUUACCAGAAAGAGUUCUCGAGGGGUUAGCACCCCAGGAAUGCAUCUAUGCUGACUCUGCUUAUCAUGACUCCCCACCUUCAAAAUACAUCUUAGGGUCACCGCACAUCCCAGAAAGUGGCAACACAGGGGCACCCCUCGAUGUGCCGAGUAUCCAGAGUCACGUUCUUGGAAGGCGUGACCAGCGUGUAAUUUAAGCAAAUGGAAUCUUUCCCAAAUGUCUUCUUUUACAACUGAAAAAACAAAUUAAGCAACAGAGGAAAAACAAAUCCAGAGAAAUAGCCUCUUCCGGGGAAGUCUGACCUCCCUGUCUAGAAGGUGAGGACAGUGCUGCGGCCGUGUUUCUGCUGGCUCCGGCCCGAGGCUGUCUCCCAGACAGCUGCUGUCCCACUGAAUUAGGUUCAAGCGAACACGGCCAUUGAGAUCCAAAGUAUUUCUGGCUGGUUUGGGCGUGGGUCCUUUCUCUAGAUGAAUAUUUUAAUGUGGGAAUUCAGAGGAAAGCUAUGGGGAAAGCAGUGUUGGUCAACUGACGACGCUAAAGAACCACCUUCGGUGGUUGUCACGGUGAGUUUGGCACUGAAGGCUCUUUGCUGUUCUGACCUGAAGCUCUCUGUUAGGACUUCCUGCUAUUUUUCUCACAAGCCCUCAUUUUCGCUGACAGUUCAGAUCAUGCCCUGUGCAUAUCCAGUUCCCCCGGUAGGCACGGCUCCUCCUUUCACCUCAAUGCCCCGCUUUCCGCUCGGCCCACACUGGACUCUUGCUACCUCUUGUUUUGGCUUAUGUUUAAUCUUACUUUUUUAAAGCAACAUCUUCUGAUUAUGAAAUAAUUUAUACUUUUUUUUUGCAGAGAAUGUGGAAAAUACAGAAAAGUAUAAGCAGAAGCAUAAAAAUUAUUCACAGUUGCACCCUUGGAGGGAGCUGUCCUAUAAAUCUUGAUGGACUUUCAUCAAAUUCAAAGAAAAAAAAAAGAUUCCACUGGGAUUUAAUUCAGAUUGCAUUUCACCGAAAAAUUACAAGGAUUAACAACAAGGAUUAAUAGCAUUGCUGCAUUCAUUAUGGCAACCCAAG
rnacentral:lncRNA from 10 species